UAGCGAAGGGGGCUAGCGUUGUUCGGAAUUACUGGGGCGUAAAGCGCACGUAGGCGGAUAUUUAAGUCAGGGGUGAAAUCCCAGAGCUCAACUCUGGAACUGCCUUUGAUACUGGGUAUCUUGAGUAUGGAAGAGGUAAGUGGAAUUGCGAGUGUAGAGGUGAAAUUCGUAGAUAUCGGGAGGAACACCGGUGGCGAAGGCGGCGAUCUGGGUCGAUACUGAACGCGUGAGG
rnacentral:rRNA from 1 species